CUGCUUUGCCUCGCAGCUGGAGAAGCCACCUCGCUUCCCCUCCACUCUACUGGGGUGACGAGAUAGCAACUGACGUCAGCUCGGGCUGAUUGCGUCACGACCGCAGGCAAAUCGCCGCUCUUGCCAAAGCGCUUCUUCUCUCGCCUUCUGGAAAGGCCUCCGGAUUCGGGUUCGGUCCAGGCGGCGGGGCUGGUGGCCCGCGUGUAAGCCGGGGCUUCCACCACACACCUCACUUCCGGCGGGGGACGGGGCGGGGGGGCGUGUGUCUGCACGAGGUCUCGCGUGAAGUGGCUCUGCGGGAGCGGGAGCGGGAGCGGGAGCGGGAGCGGGUGCGACGCACGCGGCGGCGCAGGCGUCGGCCGCCCCGAGACCCACCGACACCCUUCGGGAGGUCGCAGCAGGCCCGACGCUGCGGGGGCUUCCCUGGAACCGGGCUGUGCCCCCGCGGCCACGUGGGGAGGCGGCGGCAGAGCCCCUCGGAGCGCCGCGUGCCUCCCGGAGGACGGCGAGAGCCGCAGCCCCGGCGGCUGCUGGGCCGCGGAGGCGGACAUUUGGAAACCAGCUCCGUGGAAGUUGUGAGGCACCCAGAGAGCACAAACUUCUAUCUUUUAUCUCAUGGAUCCAAUGUAACUGUUACCGAAGACCUGUGACCAAUCUCAUGAGGAAAAUUAAAAUUAGGACUGGCUCUUCAGAAUUGCUCUAAAUUAAAGUAAGUUUCCUGAGCUUUUGUCCUCCAACAUUAACCAGUUGUCUUAUCACUUAAAUGAGUCAAAAAAUAGUUUGAUUAUCAAAGGAUUUAUAAAGAUUCUGAGAAAACUGAUGUUAUCUUGGAAUAUUUUUUCAAAAAUAUUUUCUUGUGAUCACCUUGCGUUUAAUUGAUUCUUUGCUCAAAAUACAAAUGUAUAAUUGCAAUUUAAACUUCGAUGUUGUAAAACUAAAAUAAUCUUAUUUAAGAAUUCCUAGCUCAAAAUUAAAGUCCCCAAGGUCUGCUUUAACACAGUUUACUGAAUUUUUUUAAAUAAAUUUUGCUUACAUAUCAAUGACUUCCCAUUAUGAUUCUAUACAUAGGAGUGGACACAGAUGUCACACAUGUGAAAUUUAUUUUUUCUGUAAUUUUAGUUCUCUAGUCUUCCUCUAUUAUAGAAUGGGUGAAAAGUUUAUUCAGAUUUUAUUCUUAGAAAAAAAGUUUAAGCAAGUCUAAGUAAGCUACAAGUCCAUUAAAAGUAAUAGAAGGAGAUAGAGAUCAGCUCUAAGUAAAUCCUGUGCAAAGGAAUUUAUCUUUCAAGCAUUCACCUCUUCUGGAAGAUAAGAAAGGUUUUCUUAACCAAUUAAUUGAGACUCAACUAAAUGUCAUGGCAAACAAAUUCAAAUUUUACAACAUGAAGCCGUUUCUUAUUGCAAACUUGGCAAGAACACUGUAAACUUGUAUAAAGUGAUGAUAUAGCACUUCCAGGAUCCCUGCUGUGCUUCCUGAUUAACAGAUUUAAAUCUAUGGCUUAUUGGAGAAAACAAUGAUUGGGAAUCAAAACAGCUACUGAUUCAGAUUCUAGAAUAGCUACUCCCCAGCCUUCUAAUGAAAGAUGAGACUGGUAUUUGACUUUAUGACAUCAUUAUGGCACAGUAGAUUGACAAUAAGGGGCCAAGAAUUUGUCCUGAGGUUUUCUUGGAAAUGAUGGGGCGAACCUGAAAUCAGGAUAGCAACAUCUUGGAAGGAAUCCGGGAUUUACUUCAUUUGUUAUUCAAACUCCACUCAGUUAUUAACUGGCUUCACUUGGUUAUCAGCAUACAUAUCUGCUUAGAUCUCUAGAUGUUAAGCUCUUAGAGAGAAGGAGUCAUUUAUUUAUCUGUUUCCACACAGGGACUAGUAACAUGCUUCACACAUAGCCACCAUUCAUUUAUUUGAUAAAAAUAGCAUUUUGAUUUUAUAUGGUAAAUUUUGGCCACAGCAUUUUUUAAUCCACUAAAAAACCUGUAUAUUUCAGUUAGUCAAAAUCAUAUUUAUUGAACAUUGACCAUGUAGUCUCUAUACUUAAUGUGUGUAUAUGUGUCUCUGUGUGUGUGUGUGUGUGUGUGUAUGAAUUAUCAGAGCUUUUUUAAAAUUUUUAAAUUAUUUUUUAAAAUUUAUUCAUGAGAGACACACAGAGAGAGAGAGAGAGAGAGAGAGGGAAAGAGAGAGAGGCAGAGACACAGGCAGAGGUAGAAGCAGGCAUGGGACUCCAUCCCCGGGUCUCCAGGAUCACACCCUGGGCUGAAGGCAGUGCUAAACCACUGAGCCACUCAGGCUGCCCUCUCAGAGCUUUUUAAGUGAAUAAACAUGCAAAACAAAUUCAAGGAGAGUUCAUUAUAGGCUGAAUUUGUCAAUGGAUGCUCAAUGGAAAAGGCAGAACUUGAGCUCCCCUCAGGGGGUAGAGAAAGAUAGCAGCAUUCUCCAUAUUUGGAUAGGGACAAUCUCACAGUAAAAGAACUUUGCUUUGAUAAGGAGCUCAUGUACAAAGUGUUCCCACUGUCAUCCUCUGUAAACAGCUUGGUCCCCAAGGCACUGAAGGAGAGUUUUGACUAAUUGUGACUUCCAGGAAAAUUGGUAAGUUGGGUUCAGACUGAUACUUGCUUAUAACUGUAAUCAUCCCUAGGAUUUUAAACAUUACAAGAUGUAUGUGAAACCAAGGGAAUCUGGGUAGUUGAAUGAGGAACUCAGCUGUCCCUCAGUAGUUCAUGCCAAUAUGAGAGUACAAAAACAAUGAUUAUGUGGCUGCUGUUACUACUGUUACUACUAAACUUGAUGAGUUUAUAUGUUGUUUUAAUAGUGAUUUUUAUUGCCCAGCAUCCAACUUAAUAACUUCAUUUUCUGGGUGGACAUGACUCCUAUUGCUGCUGGCUAUUGUGGUCCACAUGAAAAAUGAACAUGGUUGGUUGAGUCUCAAUUCUAACACUUUGGACAAAAAGCUGUCAUGGACCUGUUACAACAAAUUUUAGGUCCUGAAGUCUGAUUUACUUCUAAUUAGUUAAAUCUGUCAGUAUGUAUAAGGUGUAGGAAAGACAGGAAGGGAUAUAGAACUGAAUCUAUUGGAUAAGCUUCAUCGUAGGUUUCUGUAAUAUCUGCCCUAAGGGGCAAUUGUGAAGAUCUUUUUAUUAUGGGUAUUUUAAACUAUAUGUAAACCUAGAUAGACUAUUAAAAACGUGUCCUCAUGUGCCCAUCAAAAACUUCAGUAACCAUUGUUACUUGGCCUAUUUCAUCUGCAUGCCCACCCACUCUCUCUUUCUAACUCAAAGAUUAUUUUAAAGCAAAUUAGAGACAUCAUCUCAUUUCAUCUGUAAAUACUUUAGUAUUUAUCUCUAAACCAUUAGAAUUCUUGUUUACAUAACAAUAAUACCAUGGUAUGAUUUUAAAGAUCACAGUCAGACCUCCUCUAUCCUUAACCUGUUUACCAAUGUCUGAAAUUCUACAAACUUUAAAGCUUUUUGUUGGAAGAUAAAAACCAACACCCCAUUAGAAUUGUUACAACAAAACCUUUCCAGUUAUGAUUUAUGAAAAACAAGGUACCUGAAUUUGUGAGACAACAAUGGGCCAUUUUUGCAAUUAUAUCUAGAAUAGGCAGGCACAGUCAUCUAAGAAAGUUUAGAAAUCAUGACAAAUACCCCAAGAUCCUAAGAUUAUUUGCUAUCUGAGUGUAUAAUAAUAGUCACAAAUGUGCCAGAUCAGAGAACGGUAGGAUUCCAAGCCUGGUCUCCAAAGGCUACCAUCAUCUGGCUCUAUCUUACCUUCUAUGCCUUUCUUGGAUAACUUUCCUGUGACUAACUAAUCCUCUGUAACCUUGCCUGGUAAGUGUAUCACCCAAGAAUUUUUCUCCUUUCUAGUCAUCCCUGCUCAACCACUCCUGUACCCCACUCCCAUGUGAGAUGUGUUGGAUUUCUCUAACAUAGCUAAGAAAAUAAAACAGAUGGAUAGUUAUGUUGUGUAUUAAAACAGACUAAAUUUCAAUUCUUACUUUGAG
rnacentral:lncRNA from 1 species